AGUGAACGCUGGCGGUAGGCCUAACACAUGCAAGUCGAACGGCAGCACAGUAAGAGCUUGCUCUUACGGGUGGCGAGUGGCGGACGGGUGAGGAAUACAUCGGAAUCUACUUUUUCGUGGGGGAUAACGUAGGGAAACUUACGCUAAUACCGCAUACGACCUACGGGUGAAAGCAGGGGAUCUUCGGACCUUGCGCGAUUGAAUGAGCCGAUGUCGGAUUAGCUAGUUGGCGGGGUAAAGGCCCACCAAGGCGACGAUCCGUAGCUGGUCUGAGAGGAUGAUGCGCCAAACUGGAACUGAGACACGGCCCAGAACCCUAGGGGAGGCAGCGGUGGGGAAUAUUGGAAAAUGGGCGCAAGCCUGAUCCAGCCAUACCGGGUGGGUGAAGAAGGCCUUCGGGUUGUAAAGCCCUUUUGUUGGGAAAAAAAAGCAGCAGGUUAAAACCCCGCUGUUCUGACGGUACCCAAAAAAAAAGCACCGGUUAAUUUCGU
rnacentral:rRNA from 1 species